AAGUGAACCAUCUCAGUACCUGAAGGAAAAGAAAGAAACCUCGAUUCCGAAAGUAGUGGCGAGCGAAAUCGGAAGAGCCCAAACCCGUAGCAUUUCGGUGUUUCGGGGGUUGUAGGGUCCGCAACAGUAGAGUUACCAAUCUGGCUGCUAGCCGAACCCUCUGGAAAGUGGGUCCAUAGAGCGUGACAGGCGCGUAGGCGAAAGUAGUCCAGACUCGAAGCGGAUACCUGAGUAAGGCGGGGCACGUGAAACCCUGCUUGAAUCAACGGGGACCAUCCCGUAAGGCUAAAUACUAGUCUCUGACCGAUAGUGAACCAGUACCGUGAGGGAAAGGCGAAAAGAACCCCGUCGAGGGGAGUGCAAAGUACCUGAAACCGUGUGCCUACAAGCAGUGGGAGGACUAUGCCCGCAAGGGAAUGUCUGACCGCGUGCCUAUUGCAUAAUGAGCCGGCUAGUUAUUCUUGUCAGCAAGGUUAAGCGUAAGCGAGCCGCAGCGAAAGCGAGUCUGAACAGGGCGUUCAGUUGGCAGGAAUAGACGCGAAGCGGGAUGAUCUACCCAUGGCCAGGAUGGAGGUGGGGUAACACCCACUGGAGGUCCGAACCGGUGUUUGUUGAAAAAAGCUCGGAUGAGCUGUGGGUAGGGGUGAAAGGCUAAUCAAAUUCCGUGAUAGCUCGUUCUCUCCGAAAUAGCUUUAGGGCUAGCCUCGGAUGAUCUGCACUGGUGGUAGAGAGAUGGAUGGACUAGGGGGCUUUCCGGCUUACUGAAUCCAACCAAACUGCGAAUGCCAGUGACAACCAGUCCGGGAGUCAGACGGUGGGGGCUAAGCCUCAUCGUCGAGAGGGAAACAGCCCAGACCGCCUGCUAAGGUCCCCAAGUUAUGGUUAAGUGGGAAAGGAAGUCGGAACGCUCAGACAGCCAGGAGGUUGGCUUAGAAGCAGCCAUCCUUUAAAGAAAGCGUAAUAGCUCACUGGUCAAGCGGUCCGGUGCCGACAAUACAACGGGGCUAAAACCAUACACCGAAGCAGCGGAUGCACAUCUUAGGAUGUGCGUGGUAGGAGAGCAUUCUCAACAGCUGCGAAGCCAGACUGAGAAGACUGGUGGAGCGUUGCGAAGAGACCCUGCCGGCAUAAGUAGCGAUAACGGAGGUGAGAACCCUCCGCGCCGAAAGUCUAAGGUUUCCUGAGGAAGGUUAAUCCGCUCAGGGUUAGGCGGUCCCUAAGUCGAGGCCGAGAGGCGUAGACGAUGGACAGACGGUUAAUAUUCCGUUCCUCCCAAUGUUCGUUAUUACGAUGGGGUGACGCAGAAGGAUAAGCAUGCCGCACUAUGGCUAUUGCGGUUGCUGCACGUAAGCUGGAUCUGACAGGCAAAUCCGUUGGGUCUUCACAGUGAGGUGCAGCACAGUCCCGAAUGGGGCUACGAUGCUGAUUUCACGCUGCCGAGAAAAACCUCUAAGGAGAACAAAGGGAACCGUACCCCAAACCGACACAGGUAGACGAGGAGAAUAUCCAAAGGCGCUCGAGUGAAAGCUUGUUAAGGAACUCGGCAAAUUGGCUCCGUAACUUCGGGAGAAGGAGCGCCCACGCAAGUGGGCCGCAGUGAAGCGCGUACGGCGACUGUUUAACAAAAACACAGGUCUCUGCUAAGUCGAAAACGACGUAUAGGGGCUGACGCCUGCCCGGUGCCGGAAGGUUAAAAGGAGAGGUUAGCGCAAGCGAAGCUUUGAAUUGAAGCCCCGGUGAACGGCGGCCGUAACUAUAACGGUCCUAAGGUAGCGAAAUUCCUUGUC
rnacentral:rRNA from 1 species